GUGGAUAUUCCUUCUAUGUUU
rnacentral:ncRNA from 2 species